UGUGUAGCAAUACACAUGGGUGGCGAGUGGCGGACGGGUGAGUAACGCGUAGGAAUCUGCCUUGAAGCGGGGGAUAACCCGAGGAAACUCGGGCUAAUACCGCAUAAUCUCGAGAGAGAAAAGCUAGGUAGCAAUACCCGGCACUUCAAGAGGAGCCUGCGUACGAUUAGCUAGUUGGCGGGGUAAAGGCCCACCAAGGCGAUGAUCGUUAGCUGGUCUGAGAGGAUGAUCAGCCACACUGGAACUGAGACACGGUCCAGACUCCUACGGGAGGCAGCAGUGGGGAAUAUUGGACAAUGGGGGCAACCCUGAUCCAGCAAUGCCGCGUGUGUGAAGAAGGCCUUCGGGUUGUAAAGCACUUUAGUUUGGGAGGAAGUUAUGUAGUUUAAGAGACAGCAUAAUUGACUGUACCGAAAGAAUAAGCACCGGCUAACUCUGUGCCAGCAGCCGCGGUAAUACAGAGGGUGCAAGCGUUAAUCGGAGUUACUGGGCGUAAAGGGCGCGUAGGCGGUUUAAUAAGAUUGAUGUGAAAGCCCUGGGCUUAACCUAGGAACUGCAUCGAUGACUGUUAAGCUAGAGUAUUGUAGAGGGUAGUGGAAUUUCCGGUGUAGCGGUGAAAUGCGUAGAGAUCGGAAGGAACACCAGUGGCGAAGGCGGCUACCUGGACAAAUACUGACGCUGAGGCGCGAAAGCGUGGGGAUCAAACAGGAUUAGAUACCCUGGUAGUCCACGCUGUAAACGAUGAAAACUAGAUGUUGGGCAGCAUGACUGUUUAGUAUCGAAGCUAACGCGAUAAG
rnacentral:rRNA from 1 species